GAAAAAAUUAAUAACUGACAAAUCUUUGCGGUUUAGUCUCGCACAACCACAAAUUAUGCAAAUAAUCAAAAGUGUAAAUGACUAAAUAAUAUUCCAAAAUUCUAAGAUUCCAAAAUUAAAAAAAGACAAUUUUGUAAUCUAAUUCAGAGCUAAUUUCUUAAUUAAUUAACUAAUUACUUAUACAUGUCAUAUAGUUUAUACUCAGGAUCAGAAACUGUAGAAGAAAAAAAAAUAUGUAAAUAAUUAACAUGUAAAUGACAAAUAUUUCAAUUUUUUAGAUUAAACAAACUUUGCAGAGUAUAUAACUCUGCGCUCAGUAUUUCGUAUAAAAAUUUGCAGUGUGGACUCCACCUCAUGCUCUGAAACGGUCGAGAAUCUCAGAAAACAUGACGACAUCACGAUAAUGACGACCACGCCGAGACAAUCCAGCAUCAGCGUGACGUAAUUCAGGCGCACAUUUGUUACCAUAAUUAUGAAAAUAAUAAUUUAUCAUAAUUAAAUAUAAAUUAAUAUUCAAUAUUUAUAAUAAACUAAUAUUCAAGAA